rnacentral:rRNA from 1 species
AUUGAACGCUGGCGGCAGGCCUAACACAUGCAAGUCGAGCGGGGUUUUCGGACCUAGCGGCGGACGGGUGAGUAAUGCGUAGGAAGCUACCCGAUAGAGGGGGAUACCAGUUGGAAACGACUGUUAAUACCGCAUAAUGUCUACGGACCAAAGUGUGGGACCUUCGGGCCACAUGCUAUCGGAUGCGCCUACGUGGGAUUAGCUAGUUGGUAGGGUAAUGGCUCACCAAGGCGACGAUCCCUAGCUGGUUUGAGAGGAUGAUCAGCCACACUGGGACUGAGACACGGCCCAGACUCCUACGGGAGGCAGCAGUGGGGAAUAUUGGACAAUGGGCGGAAAGCCUGAUCCAGCAAUGCCGCGUGAGUGAUGAAGGCCUUAGGGUUGUAAAGCUCUUUUACCCGAGAUGAUAAUGACAGUAUCGGGAGAAUAAGCUCCGGCUAACUCCGUGCCAGCAGCCGGCGGUAAAGUGACUACU